rnacentral:rRNA from 1 species
UACGGGGGGAGCAAGCGUUGUUCGGAUUUACUGGGCGUAAAGGGCGCGUAGGCGGUCAGCACAAGUCAGUUGUGAAAUCUCCGGGCUUAACUCGGAAAGGUCAACUGAUACUGUGCGACUAGAGUGCGGAAGGGGCAACUGGAAUUCUCGGUGUAGCGGUGAAAUGCGUAGAUAUCGAGAGGAACACCUGCGGCGAAGGCGGGUUGCUGGGCUGACACUGACGCUGAUGCGCGAAAGCGUGGGGAGCAAACAGG